rnacentral:rRNA from 1 species
AUUGAACGCUGGCGGCAUGCCUUACACAUGCAAGUCGAACGGCAGCAUGGAGAGCUUGCUCUCUGAUGGCGAGUGGCGAACGGGUGAGUAAUGCAUCGGAACGUACCGUGUAAUGGGGGAUAACGUAGCGAAAGUUACGCUAAUACCGCAUACGACCUGAGGGUGAAAGCAGGGGAUCGCAAGACCUUGCGUUAUACGAGCGGCCGACGUCAGAUUAGCUAGUUGGUGAGGUAAAGGCUCACCAAGGCGACGAUCUGUAGCGGGUCUGAGAGGAUGAUCCGCCACACUGGGACUGAGACACGGCCCAGACUCCUACGGGAGGCAGCAGUGGGGAAUUUUGGACAAUGGGGGCAACCCUGAUCCAGCCAUGCCGCGUGAGUGAAGAAGGCCUUCGGGUUGUAAAGCUCUUUCGGCCGGGAAGAAAUCGCACAGGCUAAUACUCUGUGUGGAUGACGGUACCGGCAUAAGAAGCACCGGCUAACUACGUGCCAGCAGCCGCAGUAA